rnacentral:rRNA from 1 species
UUCCGGACGGGGGUGGUAACGCGUGAGAACAUGCCUUUAGAUUGGGGACAACAGUUGGAAACGACUGCUAAUACCGAAUGUGCCUUAGGGUGAAAGAUUUAUUGUCUAGAGAUUGGCUCGCGUCAGAUUAGCUAGUUGGAGUGGUAACGGCACACCAAGGCGACGAUCUGUACUUGGUCUGAGAGGAUGACCAGGCACACUGGAACUGAGACACGGUCCAGACUCCUACGGGAGGCAGCAGUGGGGAAUUUUCCGCAAUGGGCGAAAGCCUGACGGAGCAAUACCGCGUGAGGGAGGACGGCUUUUGGGUUGUAAACCUCUUUUAUCAGGGAAGAAUCGAUGACGGUACCUGAUGAAUCAGCAUCGGCUAACUCCGUGCCAGCAGCCGCGGUAAUACGGAGGAUGCAAGCGUUAUCCGGAAUUAUUGGGCGUAAAGCGUCCGUAGGUGGUUUAUCAAGUCUGCUGUCAAAGCGUGCGGCUUAACCGCAUAAGGGCAGUGGAAACUGAUGAACUAGAGUGCGAUAGGGGUAACAGGAAUUCCCAGUGUAGCGGUGAAAUGCGUAGAUAUUGGGAAGAACACCAGCGGCGAAAGCGUGUUACUGGGUCUGCACUGACACUGAGGGACGAAAGCUAGGGGAGCGAAAGGGAUUAGAUACCCCUGUAGUCCUAUCCGUCAACGAUGACAACUAGGCGUGGUUUGUAUCGACCCGAGCCGUGCCGUAGCCAACGCGUUAAGUUGUCCGCCUGGCGAGUACGCACGCAAGUGUGAAACUCAAAGGAAUUGACGGGGGGCCGCACAACCGGUGGAGUAUGUGGUUUAAUUUUAUGCAACGCGAAGAACCUUACCAAGCCUUGACAUCCUCGCAUCCCUGCUGAAAGUUAGGGGUGCCUUCGGGAGCCGAGAGACAGGUGGUGCAUGGCUGUCGUCAGCUCGUGUCGUGAGAUGUUGGGUUAAGUCCCGCAACGAGCGCAACCCACGUUUUUAGUUGCCAGCAUUCAGUUGGGCACUCUAGAGAGACUGCCGGUGACAAACCGGAGGAAGGUGUGGAUGACGUCAAGUCAGCAUGCCCCAUACCCCUUGGGCUACACACGUACUACAAUGUGUCGGACAAAGAGCAACCAGCCACCGACGGGAGCCAAUCUCAAAACCGACGAUCAGUCAGAU